GUACCACAGUUUGAUAACCGCUGCAUUACAUUAUACAUAAAAAAAUUACAAAUUAAAACUAGAAAUGUAAUAUUAAUUAUAUUAUUACAGUAUUAACUUAAAUCUUAAUCAUAAAGUUGUGCUAUUCAUCUACUUAAAUACCUAUAUCCUAAUAAGUUUAAUCAAGUUUCAAUUUCAGUAUGUUUAUUUUAAUUUAUUUCAAAUUUAAUAAGUACCUAUACAUAUUUAAAAAUGUAAAGCGUGGAGGUGCUGAGGACUCGUCCGCUUCGGCUUCGAUCCGAAGUCAAUAAUUUAUCCAUGUCCUUACUGUCACGUCUUUCAGAAAGCUGUUGUUUCGAAAAGCUUAUUACGUUCAGUGACGUCCCAGAUGAAGAUAUUUGUCUUCGAAAGGCAUCUGAAUCCUAAUCACUAGAUAAUGGUCAAGGGUUUUUUCAAAUGCACACGUCAAAAAAAGUACACCACAAAACGGUGCAUAUGUUUUUAAAAAAAAAAAGGUACUUCUCUAAAUACCAUCCAAAAAGUUCGUGUAGGUACUACUGUACUAAUAAAUAAAUUAUAUUUUGUAAAAAGAAUAAUAAUUUAAUAAUUGUAAUUAAAAACUGAAAUAAUAAUAAUUUAAUAGUUCUAAUAAAUUUAUGUAAACAAAAUAAAUAUUUAU